rnacentral:rRNA from 1 species
AGAGUUUGUAUCCGUGGACGUCAGGAUUAACGGCUGGCGGACGUGCAUAACACAUGCAAGUCGAACGAUGAAGAUAUUUAGAUUCCUUCGGGAUGAAAAAUAUUGGAUUAGUGGCGGACGGGUGAGUAACGCGUGAGUAACCUGCCUUACACAAGGGGAUAGCCGUUGGAAACGACGAAUAAUACCCUAUGACAUAAACUCUUCGCAUGAAGAGCUUAUCAAAGAUUUAUCGGUGUAAGAUGGACUCGCGUCUGAUUAGCUAGUUGGUGAGGUAACGGCCCACCAAGGCAACGAUCAGUAGCCGGCUUGAGAGAGUGUACGGCCACAUUGGGACUGAGACACGGCCCAGACUCCUACGGGAGGCAGCAGUGGGGGAAUUUUUGCACAAUGGGGGGAAACCCUGAUGCAGCGACGCCGCGUGAUUUAGAAGGCCUUCGGGUUGUAAAAAUCUUUUGUAUGGGAAGAAAAUGACAGUACCAUACGAAUAAGGACCGGCUAAUUACGUG